GCCAGUGUGGUAUAGUGGUUUGAGUGUUGGACUAAGACUCUGGAGACCAGGGUUUGAAUCCCUGAUUGGUCA
rnacentral:tRNA from 1 species